GUGAAGUAACAAGAAAAGACUGAGGAGAGAGGGAGACACAAAACUUUUAUUUGACCUUUUAAAUACUUAAGCUACUCUCUGAAAGUUGUGCUGAAGCUUGAGCUUGUGAGCAGCUGCUGCUCCACUUUUCUCUGGGCUGGGGUGACAAUGUGAGAGCUCUGAAGUUGCUCUGAGCUGCAGUGUUGAUCCAGCCUCUGCACGUGGAUUCACUGGGCUCCCCUGGCUCCUAGCACAGAAUUCAGUGAAGCUUUGAAGGGGUCAGAAAGAAGAAUGUGUUUCCCUGAUGGGAAGAGGAGCUACCACUGUGGAAGAGAAAGGCAAGGAAAGAUUUAGGGGACAGGUGGUGAAAAAAAAGGAUUAAUGAAAAGGUGCGCUCACAUGGGGAGACAGUGGAGGGUUUAAAAACAGGGACAUGAAAAGAGAGGGAGCAGCCAAGUGGAGGGGAGGAGAUAUUGAAGAGAGUGGCAAGCAGAUGCCAGCUCUGGUUCCAGGAGCUGGUUUGCUCUCAGCUGAACCUUUCCCAGAGUGCUUGCUGUUGAGCUGGAGUGAGCAGGGCUUCUGUCUCCCACUCUAACCAGUAUCCAUCAUGUGUACCUUCAGUGCAGUUAAAGAAACCAGCUGGCUGGCAAAUGUAAUUUCCUUGCCAUGGGAAACGAUCUGAAAUUGCAAAAUGUUAUCCCACUGUCACAUUGUUCUGCAAAGAAACACAUGGCAUACAAGAAAUUCAUUUCUUCAAAUCCAUAUUUUAUUGAAAUAUAGCCACGGAUGGCAGAUAAAAUCUCUGACUUGCACUUCCUGGCUGUUGGCUGUAUUUUUUAAAAGAGAGAAGUAGAAGGACAAGCAUCACCUAUGUUACAAAUGAGCUGAUGUGCUUCUUACUUUGUGUGUAAGUAUGCCCACACAGGGAGAGAGAAACUCUCCCACCCAUGGAUAUAAAGGUGGGAGAAGCUCAGAUUCCCAUUUUACAUGUAGAGAAGAACAUAAUAGAAAUAUGAAUUGCAAACCCAGUUAGUUUUGUAGCACGAGCAGGAAUUAAACACUGAUAUUAUAUUGAUCAAGUUUUAAUUUCUCUCCUGAUGAAACGGUGCUUGCGGAGAGUGAAAUGUUUCUACAGAAUUGUUCUGUUUGCUGAAAAUAUCCUGAGGCCUUGGGCAGUGGAGGAGGCACCGGGGAAGCUCUGAAUCAGGAAGGAAAGCAGGAUCUCAGGUCCGAAUAUGAAGUGGCUCUGGCUGAUGAACUAUUCCCUUUCAUCACAGAUUGACUCCCAGUAAUAAUUCACCACUGACACCUAUUUUUUGAGAUCUCAAUUCAAGUUGUGUUUUUGGAGUUCUUCAACUUGAAGGGUUGUGGUUAAGAGGUGAGCCAGGCAUGGUUGGUGCCCAAGAGCCCCAGAGACCUCUCCUGCUGCUGCACGGAUGGCUGGGCAAAGCUCCUCAUGGAACAGCUUUCCUGCCACACAAGAACCUGGAAAAUCACAGUGAGGGCAUGAGAGGCAAUCUAGAACCUGCCCUUGGAGUGGGUGGCUUUGUGAAUGACCGAGUGGAGUUAGGAGCUGACUGAAGAUUUUACACUGCAGAGCUGAAGGCAUCUGCUCACUAAGAAACGUGUGAAGGAAACCCUUGCUUGUGUCAAGCUGUGGUGCAAGAGAGCUGCUCUAAAACCAGUAAAAAGUCACAAACAAGCCCCAAGGGAAGCCUUUCCAUGGUUGAGCCAGGCUGGGGAAUGGGCAGCUGGAGCAGCCCUGGGAGAAGGAGCUGAGGGUGCUGCAGGGUGAGAGGUGCCCUGGUUGUGCCCUGCUGGGCUGAGCCUGGGGGUUCUGCCCCUCUGCCCUCAGGUGAGAUCUCACCUGCAGGACUGGGCCAGCACAGGAGGAGCUGGAGCUGCUGCAGGAGCCCAGAGCAGGCACCAAGAGCAAUACCUACCAAAUUCAAAAAAGCAAGGAGUGAAAGAGAAUUAGGAAAAUAUUCAACCCAAACAAAACCAGCAGUCAUGUAGCAAGAGAUACUGAGGAAAUAUAAGCAGAGAAGUGUAAGCAAGAAGCAUUAAACAUAUGAACUUCUUUAUUGCUCGCUCUGUGCUUUAUCCUCACUGCAACAUGACAGGUAUGUGCAAUUUUCUUCUUUUCUUUGGGAGAAGCUUAUCAGGAGAAUGCUGUCCAGCAGCCAGGCUUUUACAGCACUGUUCUGUUCAUUGCUGCAUCAGAGAGGGCCCAGCAGGCAGCCUGUGGAGACCACAGUUAUCUGUCAGCUGGAUUUUCAGAAACAGUGCUUCUGCUGCCUUCAAGCCUGUUGAACCUGUCCAAGGAGAGCAAAAAUGUGUGAAACAGUAAUACAGAAUUAAU